rnacentral:lncRNA from 1 species
AGGCUCAGGCUCAGGCUCAGGCUCAGGCUCAGGUGCAGGCACAGGCGCAAUUGCAAGGGCAAGCCCAGGCACAGGUGCACCGAUACGGACCAAUGGGAGCGGUGGCUGCGUUAUCCAAGGAAAGAACUGGAUAUGGGGGCGGGGUGGAAAAUUGGUAGCCAUGAACUCAUGAAAUUGCCUUCUGGUGAUUUCGUCCUCCAGAUCAUAACGAUGGCGCUCGAGGUGGUGGCCUACGAGACCGUGAUUAUCCAUGAAGACUUGAUCACAGAGUCGACAUGCGACUGGGGCGUCGAUACACGCCUUGUCCUCAUUGUUGAUCUUGUUCCAGCCAGAUCCAUCCAUGAUCGCUACUCAACAAUUUAAACACACAAAUGCUUUUUGCUUUAGCACAAACCUCCCUUGGUC